rnacentral:rRNA from 1 species
UACGGAGGGUGCGAGCGUUGUCCGGAAUCACUGGGCGUAAAGGGCGCGUAGGCGGUUGGGGUAGUCCGUGGUGAAAGCUCGUGGCUCAACUACGAGUCGGCCAUGGAUACUCCUCGACUUGAGCACUGUAGAGGCAGGUGGAAUUCCGGGUGUAGCGGUGGAAUGCGUAGAGAUCCGGAAGAACACCGGUGGCGAAGGCGGCCUGCUGGGCAGUAGCUGACGCUGAGGCGCGACAGCGUGGGGAGCAAACAGG